rnacentral:rRNA from 1 species
UACAGAGGUCCCAAGCGUUGUUCGGAUUCAUUGGGCGUAAAGGGUGCGUAGGCGGCGCGGUAAGUCGGGUGUGAAAUCUCGGAGCUUAACUCCGAAACUGCAAUUCGAUACUGCCGUGCUUGAGGACUGGAGAGGAGACUGGAAUUUACGGUGUAGCGGUGAAAUGCGUAGAUAUCGUAAGGAAGACCAGUGGCGAAGGCGACUACCUGGCCUGUUCUUGACGUGAGGCGCGAAAGCUAGGGGAGCAAACGGGA